AGAGUUUGAUCCUGGCUCAGGAUGAACGCUGACAGAAUGCUUAACACAUGCAAGUCUACUUGAAUUUGGGUCUUUGACUUAGAUUUGGGUGGCGGACGGGUGAGUAACGCGUAAAGAACUUGCCUCACAGUUAGGGACAACAUUUGGAAACGAAUGCUAAUACCUGAUAUUAUGAUUAUACGGCAUCGUAUAAUUAUGAAAGCUAUAUGCGCUGUGAGAGAGCUUUGCGUCCCAUUAGCUAGUUGGAGAGGUAACGGCUCACCAAGGCGAUGAUGGGUAGCCGGCCUGAGAGGGUGAACGGCCACAAGGGGACUGAGACACGGCCCUUACUCCUACGGGAGGCAGCAGUGGGGAAUAUUGGACAAUGGACCAAAAGUCUGAUCCAGCAAUUCUGUGUGCACGAUGACGUUUUUCGGAAUGUAAAGUGCUUUCAGUUGGGAAGAAAAAAAUGACGGUACCAACAGAAGAAGUGACGGCUAAAUACGUGCCAGCAGCCGCGGUAAUACGUAUGUCACAAGCGUUAUCCGGAUUUAUUGGGCGUAAAGCGCGUCUAGGUGGUUAUGUAAGUCUGAUGUGAAAAUGCAGGGCUCAACUCUGUAUUGCGUUGGAAACUGUGUAACUAGAGUACUGGAGAGGUAAGCGGAACUACAAGUGUAGAGGUGAAAUUCGUAGAUAUUUGUAGGAAUGCCGAUGGGGAAGCCAGCUUACUGGACAGAUACUGACGCUAAAGCGCGAAAGCGUGGGUAGCAAACAGGAUUAGAUACCCUGGUAGUCCACGCCGUAAACGAUGAUUACUAGGUGUGGGGGGACUGACCCCUUCCGUGCCGGAGUUAACACAAUAAGUAAUCCACCUGGGGAGUACGGCCGCAAGGUUGAAACUCAAAGGAAUUGACGGGGGCCCGCACAAGCAGUGGAGUAU
rnacentral:rRNA from 1 species